rnacentral:rRNA from 1 species
AGAGUUUGAUCCUGGCUCAGAACGAACGCUGGCGGCAGGCCUCAAACAUGCAAGUCGAGCGCCCAGCAAUGGGAGCGGCGGACGGGUGCGUAACACGUGGGAACGUACCCUUUGGUUCGGAACAACGCAGGGAAACUUGCGCUAAUACCGGAUGACCCGGAAACGGAAAAGAUUUAUCGCCAAAGGAUCGGCCCGCGUUC